CUGGACUACAAGGGUUUCUAAUCCUGUUUGAUCCCCACGCUUUCGAGCCUCAGUGUCAAUACACGCCUAGUGAACUGCCUUCGCAAUCGGUGUUCUAUUACAUAUCUAAGCAUUUCACCGCUACAUGUAAUAUUCCAUCCACCUCGACGUGAUUCAAGCUAAGCAGUAUCAAUGGCAGUUUCGCAGUUAAGCUGCGACAUUUCACCACUGACUUACAAAGCCACCUACGCUCCCUUUAAACCCAGUGAAUCCGGAUAACGCUUGCACCCUCCGUAUUACCGCGGCGGCUGACAC
rnacentral:misc_RNA from 1 species